CGGAACGGGUGAGUAACGCGUGAGGAACCUGCCUCAAAGAGGGGGACAACAGUUGGAAACGACUGCUAAUACCGCAUAAGCCCACGGCUCGGCAUCGAGCAGAGGGAAAAGGAGCAUCCGCUUUGAGAUGGCCUCGCGUCCGAUUAGCUAGUUGGUGAGGUAACGGCCCACCAAGGCGACGAUCGGUAGCCGGACUGAGAGGUUGAACGGCCACAUUGGGACUGAGACACGGCCCAG
rnacentral:rRNA from 1 species